GGUUAAGUUAGGAAGGGCGCAUGGUGAAUGCCUUGGUACUAGGAGCCGAUGAAGGACGGGACUAACACCGAUAUGCCUCGGGGAGCUGUAAGUAAGCUUUGAUCCGGGGAUUUCCGAAUGGGGCAACCCAAUAGUUUUAAUCGACUAUUAUCCGCAUCUGAAUACAUAGGAUGUGUGAAGGUAAACGUGGGGAACUGAAACAUCUCAGUACCCGCAGGAACAGAAAGAAAAUUCGAUUCCCUGAGUAGCGGCGAGCGAAACGGGAAGAGCCCAAACCAGGAAGCUUGCUUCCUGGGGUUGUAGGACUGAACAUUUGAGUUACCAAAGAACUUGAUAGCUGAAGAAUCUGGGAAGAUUCGCCAGAGAGGGUGAUAGCCCCGUAAGUUAAAUCAA
rnacentral:rRNA from 1 species